rnacentral:rRNA from 1 species
CUGGCUGACACUCAAUGAGUUGUGGUGUGAGACUGAAACCAGGAUCACAUGGCUGUUUUAAGUGAGCUUCUUAACCACAUAGCUAUGCAAAGGUCAUACACAGUUGAACAUUUCGCCCGGCUAGGUUCGGAGUCCCCUCGAUAGGGGCUGCCCAGAGCGGGUGCCAGGCCCAUUCGGAGCCGGCGGCGAUCGGCGGUGUUCUUUUCGGCCCGAGAGUCAGGUUGCUUGGGAACGCAGCCCAAAGCGGGUGGUAAGCUCCAUCCAAGGCUAAAUACGGGGAUGAGUCCGAUAGCCGACAAGUACCGCGAGGGAAAGUUGAAAAGAACUUUGGAGAGGAACCAGAAGAAUCAACUCCAGUACUAGAAUGGAACUUUAUUUAUCAACCCCAAAUGGAUUUAAGGCAAGCUUGACCUUAGCAGGGUUUGACCUCAGGUGCAGAGAAAGACAAAGACUGCAAGAUAUUCCCCAUAAAGUUUCACACACACACACACACACACACACACACACACAACCACACUUAUCAUCAUCAUCGGUUUAUAUUAAUUUUCAACACUGGCAUAAGCUGGACUGAUGAUCUAAGUCACUCCCUAUUUCUGAGUCACUGUGGAGGUCAGAGGACCACAUUUUGCCCUUACGUUCCAUUUUUCACAUGGUCACUAUGGAUGGAUGUUCUUCCCAACACCAACCAUUUUGCAAGAGUAACGAAGAUACAUUUGAUUGUGACACAAGUACUAAUAAUACCAUCAUGUCCUCAACAAGACUUUUAAAGAAUCCUCGUGAUUUAAUAUUGCUUCUGCUAACCACUUUACAAGGAUGUUCUGUACUGGGUGCAUUUUAUAGUAGAACCAGCAGUGGUGAGCUUGCUUUGUACCUCACAAAACUAAAUAGGUGUUUAUAUAUAUAUAUAUAUAUAUAUAUAUAUAUAACUCAUGUUAUGC